rnacentral:ncRNA from 2 species
CUUCCCGUUGCGGGAGAGCGCGUGCCAGUCGAGUUCAACAUGGCCGCCGCCGAAGGCGUAACCCACCCGGAAUCGCUCAGGCACCAGGACCGCAACAACCGG